rnacentral:rRNA from 1 species
UCAAACAAAGAAGGGCACAGGGCGGAUGCCUUGGCACUAAGAGCCGAAGAAAGACGUGACAAGCUGCGAAAAGCCGCGGGGAGGAGCAAAUAUCCCAUGAUCCGCGGAUGUCUGAAUGGGGAAACCCGGCAGGAAAGACUCCUGUCAUCCAUGCGCCAAUCCAUAACGCAUGGAAGGGAACCCGGUGAACUGAAACAUCUAAGUAACCGGAGGAAAAGAAAGAAACAUCGAUUCCGUAAGUAGCGGCGAGCGAACGCGGAGGAGGCCAAACCGGAAUGCGUGCAUUCCGGGGUAGAGGACUGCAUAAGCUACCUUAAGCAGCAGCAGAACGGUUUUGGGAAAGCCGGCCGCAGAGGGUGAAAGCCCCGUAAGCGAAGCUGUGAGAGGAGCGGCAGAAUCCGGAGUACCACGAGACACGUGAAACCUUGUGGGAAGCCGGGGGGACCACCCCCCAAGCCUAAAUACUACUUAGUGACCGAUAGAGCAAAGUACUGUGAAGGAAAGGUGAAAAGAACCCCGGGAGGGGAGUGAAAGAGAACCUGAAACCCUGUGUCUACAAGCUGUGGAAGUACUUUAAAUGUACAACCGCGUACUUUUUGUAGAACGGUCCGGCGAGUUACAUGGUGUGGCAAGGUUAAGCACGGAAAGUGUGGAGCCGAAGGGAAACCGAGUCUUAAGAGGGCGUGAAGUCACAUAGUGUAGACCCGAAACCGGGUGACCUACCCAUGUCCAGGUUGAAGCUGCUGUAAAAGGCGGUGGAGGACCGAACACACAUCCGUUGAAAAGGGUGGUGAUGAGGUGUGGGUAGCGGAGAAAUUCCAAUCGAACCCGGAGAUAGCUGGUUCUCCUCGAAAUAGUUUUAGGACUAGCCUGUUAUUAGUCUGCCGGAGGUAGAGCACUGAAUUCUUAAGGGGGCGUCAAAGCUUACCAAGAGAUAUCAAACUCCGAAUGCCGGCCAGAUGAUGUAACGGAGUCAGACUGCACGAGAUAAGUUGGGUAGUCAAAAGGGAAAGAGCCCAGACCACCGGCUAAGGUCCCAAAGUGCGUGUUAAGUGGAAAAGGAUGUGGGAAUUCGAAGACAACUAGGAUGUUGGCUCAGAAGCAGCCAUUCAUUCAAAGAGUGCGUAACAGCUCACUAGUCGAGAGUUCCUGCGCCGAAAAUGUCCGGGGCUGAAACACGACACCGAAGCCGUGGAAUCACGCAAGUGAUUGGUAGAGGAGCAUUCGCUGCACGACGAAGCUGUACCGAAAGGAGCAGUGGAGAGCAGUGAAGAGAGAAUGCCGGAAUGAGUAGCGAGAGAUAGGUGAGAAUCCUAUCGGCCGAAUAUCUAAGGUUUCCAGAGUAAAGCUGAUCUGCUCUGGGUAAGUCGGGACCUAAGGCGAGGUCGAAAGACGUAGUCGAUGGACAACUGGUUGAGAUUCCAGUACUUCAAUAUAUCAGAACUGUGGGGACACAGCCACAAAGCAUUAGCCGGGAAUGGAAAGACCGGUGCAAGCACAGGAGGCGUACGGCAGGCAAAUCCGCCGUAUAAGCCGGAGGUGUGAAGCGGAGCGAACAUAAGGGUAGCGAAGAAUGCAGAGUGGCUGUCGGGAAAAGCCGCUAUUGUGUAUAUUGAACCCGUACCGUAAACCGACACAGGUGGAUGAGGAGAGAAUCCUAAGGCCGACGGAAGAAGCAUUGUUAAGGAAUUCGGCAAAAUGACCCCGUAACUUCGGGAGAAGGGGUGCCUGCGAGAGCAGGCCGCAGAGAAUAGGCUCAAGCAACUGUUUAGCAAAAACACAGGUCUAUGCGAAACCGAAAGGUGAGGUAUAUGGGCUGACGCCUGCCCGGUGCUGGAAGGUUAAGAGGAGAGGUUAGCGCAAGCGAAGCUUUGAAUUUAAGCCCCAGUAAACGGCGGCCGUAACUAUAACGGUCCUAAGGUAGCGAAAUUCCUUGUCGGGUAAGUUCCGACCC